AUUGAACGCUGGCGGCAGGCUUAACACAUGCAAGUCGAGCGGGGUGAUGGUGCUUGCACUAUCACUUAGCGGCGGACGGGUGAGUAAUGCUUAGGAAUCUGCCUAUUAGUGGGGGACGACAUCUCGAAAGGGAUGCUAAUACCGCAUACGUCCUACGGGAGAAAGCAGGGGAUCACUUGUGACCUUUCGCUAAUAGAUGAGCCUAAGUCGGAUUAGCUAGUUGGUGGGGUAAAGGCCUACCAAGGCGGCGAUCUGUAGCGGGUCUGAGAGGAUGAUCCGCCACACUGGGACUGAGACACGGCCCAGACUCCUACGGGAGGCAGCAGUGGGGAAUAUUGGACAAUGGGGGGAACCCUGAUCCAGCCAUGCCGCGUGUGUGAAGAAGGCCUUAUGGUUGUAAAGCACUUUAAGCGAGGAGGAGGCUCUUUUGGUUAAUACCCAAGAUGAGUGGACGUUACUCGCAGAAUAAGCACCGGCUAACUCUGUGCCAGCAGCCGCCGUAA
rnacentral:rRNA from 1 species